rnacentral:rRNA from 1 species
CUGUUGGCGACCGGCGCACGGGUGAGUAACACGUAUCCAACCUGCCCUUUACUCGGGGAUAGCCUUUCGAAAGAAAGAUUAAUACCCGAUAGCAUAAUGAUUCCGCAUGGUUUCAUUAUUAAAGGAUUCCGGUAAAGGAUGGGGAUGCGUUCCAUUAGGUUGUUGGUGAGGCAACGGCUCACCAAGCCUUCGAUGGAUAGGGGUUCUGAGAGGAAGGUCCCCCACAUUGGAACUGAGACACGGUCCAA